UUACGGCUAUAUCACGUUAAAAACACCGGCUCUCGUACGAUCACCGAAGUUAAGCAACGUCAAGCCUGGCUAGUCUCUAAAUGAGUGACUGCUUGUGAAUACUAGGUGCAGUA